AUGGUUAAGUUAGAAAGGGCGCACGGUGGAUGCCUUGGCACUAGGAGCCGAUGAAGGACGGGACGAACACCGAUAUGCUUCGGGGAGCUGUAAGCAAGCUUUGAUCCGGAGAUUUCCGAAUGGGGAAACCCACUGCUCGUAAUGGAGUAGUAUCCAUACUUGAAUACAUAGAGUAUGAGAAGGCAUACCCGGGGAACUGAAACAUCUAAGUACCCGGAGGAAGAGAAAGCAAAUGCGAUUCCCUGAGUAGCGGCGAGCGAAACGGGAACAGCCCAAACCAAGAGGCUUGCCUCUUGGGGUUGUAGGACACUCUAUACGGAGUUACAAAGGAAUGAUAUAAGCGAAGAGGUCUGGAAAGGCCCGCCAAAGAAGGUAACAGCCCUGUAACUGAAAUGUCGUUCUCUCCAGAGUGGAUCCUGAGUACGGCGGAACACGUGAAAUUCCGUCGGAAUCCGGGAGGACCAUCUCCCAAGGCUAAAUACUCCCUAGUGACCGAUAGUGAACCAGUACCGUGAGGGAAAGGUGAAAAGCACCCCGGAAGGGGAGUGAAAUAGAUCCUGAAACCGUGUGCCUACAAGUAGUCAGAGCCCGUUAACGGGUGAUGGCGUGCCUUUUGUAGAAUGAACCGGCGAGUUACGAUCCCGUGCAAGGUUAAGCAGAAGAUGCGGAGCCGCAGCGAAAGCGAGUCUGAAUAGGGCGCAUGAGUACGUGGUCGUAGACCCGAAACCAGGUGAUCUACCCAUGUCCAGGGUGAAGUUCAGGUAACACUGAAUGGAGGCCCGAACCCACGCACGUUGAAAAGUGCGGGGAUGAGGUGUGGGUAGGGGUGAAAUGCCAAUCGAACCUG
rnacentral:rRNA from 1 species